GACAGAGGCCUCAAGCGUUAGGCGGAAUCACUGGGCUUAAAGCGUGUGUAGGCGGACGCCUAAGUGUCUUGUGAAAUCCCCCGGCUCACCCGGGGAACUGCUGGGCAUACUGGGCGUCUUGGGCCAACUAGGGGCAGCUGGAACUUUCGGUGGAGCGGUGAAAUGCGUAGAUAUCGGAAGGAACGCCGGUGGCGAAAGCGAGCUGCUGGACCCCUCCUGACGCUGAUGCGCGAAAGCCAGGGUAGCGAACGGG
rnacentral:rRNA from 1 species